rnacentral:rRNA from 1 species
ACGGGUGAGUAAUGUCUGGGAAACUGCCUGAUGGAGGGGGAUAACUACUGGAAACGGUAGCUAAUACCGCAUAACGUCGCAAGACCAAAGAGGGGGACCCUCGGGCCUCUUGCCAUCGGAUGUGCCCAGAUGGGAUUAGCUUGUUGGUGGGGUAACGGCUCACCAAGGCGACGAUCCCUAGCUGGUCUGAGAGGAUGACCAGCCACACUGGAACUGAGACACGGUCCAGACUCCUACGGGAGGCAGCAUG